UGUGGUUUCGCACUUUUUCAUUUUAGUACCCUAUGGUUUAAAGUGUAUCAAAUUAGUUCCCUGUGGUUUUUCACUUUAUCACUUUAGUACCCUGUGGUUUAAAGUGUAUCAAGUUAGUACUCUGUGUUUUAUUUUUGUUUCAAGUUAGUACCCUGUGAUUUUAUUUUUGUUUCAAGUUAGUACCUUGUGGUUUUUAAAUCACAAAAUACUAAAGUGAUAAAGUGCGAAACCACAGGGUACUAACUUGAUACACUUUAAACUAUAAGGUACUAAAGUGAAAAAGUACAAAACCACAGGGUACUAACUUGAUGUAGACUUUAAACCACAGGGUACUAAAGUGAGAAAAAGUGAAACCACAAGGGGGUAUUUGAACUUUUCCCUUAGGUUUAUGCACAAAUACAAUUAUGUAAAAAAUUAGAGACCAAAUGAGGAUCACUCAAAAGUUCUGGACCUCAAAAUAAUUUCAUCACAUUUCUAUUUUUUUUUAUAUUAUUUAGGAAUAAUUACCUACAUACCCCUCAAAACUUCAAAAUUAUCUCAUUUAUUUCUACUUUUUUUUUCUUUCCAAUACAACUCUAAUAUGUUUCUUCAUUAUUCCAAAAUAUCCCUAUAGUUAUCAUCCGUUAAAUUAAAUUGGGUUAAACGUGAGUUAAAUAUUUAUCAGAGUUAAAAAAAUCAAAAUGCCUCUUUUGUCCUUAACUUAAGAACAAAUAAAAAAAAUAUUGGUAAUACUUUUUGUGCCCCUAACUUAAGGGCAAAUAAGAAAAGUCGGUAAUGGUAGAAGGAUAUAUUUAAAAGGGUAAAUUAGUAAUUUUAUACAGAUAACAGUUAUUACUAACUGAAUUUAACUCUAGGAAUAUAUUUAAAAUAGGUUGAAACGUAAAAAUAAUAUUUUUACUAUUAGGAGAUAAAUUAAAAAGUCAGAAACUUUUAAAGAAUAUAUAAACAAUUGCUUCUAUUUACACCUUCCUUCUGCGCCAUAAAAAUUCAUUAUAAAUAAAUAAAUGAAACAUAGAGCCUCAAUGAUAUUGCAAGAUUCACGGCAAAAACAAUGAAUUUAAUUUUUAACAAAUCGUUAUUCAUCUAAAAAAUGAGAGUAAAUUUUUCACACUUUUGUCUAAAAACUAAUAUUUUAUAUUUAUUUUUUUAAUUGAGAAGCGUAAAAUGUAUUUUUUUUUUAAAUGUACAAACAAUAUUUCUCUAAAUUGUGUUUUUUUAUUUCACACUUUAAAAAAAAUGUGAAAUAGGAGAAAAAAAAGUUGGUCUCAGAUAGAAAGACCUAGUACUAGGGAAAGGAAUAAAAGUGUCACGUCCUGACCCGUUGCACAAUGGAGGUCAUGCGGGUGCUUGCACAGAUCCGCUUUACGUGAAUAAAAUAUAUAUAAAAUUAUGAAUGUUCUAAUAUUAUAAUAGUUAGAUUUAUAUUCUCGUUUUCAAGAUAUAUCCUCACGUAAAAUUGUAUCAUGUUAUUUUUUUUUGAAUGAAAUACGUGGGUCUCCGCUGUGCAGCAGGCCUGGCGUGACAAAAAAUUAAAUAUACAAAUCUAAAAAAUAGAGGAGGAAGAUGUCUAACUACAAAUAUUCACCUCAAGCAACCUGUCCUUCUUUUUUUUGGGGGGACUGAUAAACACUACCUAAUAUCUUAAUAAAAUAUAGUAUUAGGAUAAUGGUGGAUUUAAAUGGUGGGAUUAGUUGAUGGUUUAUACCAACAAACCNUCCUUCUGCGCCAUAAAAUAUCAUUAUAAAUAAAUAAA
rnacentral:lncRNA from 1 species